ACAGGGGCCAAUCCUUCUUAAACCUUUGCUCUCCUUGCCCAGGCACUCUUGGCAGGAACCCAAAAUGAUCUGCGGGAGGUGAGUGGGCCGGGGGGACUGGAGGGCAUCCAGUCUGGGAACUGGGGGACACUUUGGUCCCCCCAUCCCUCGCUGGCACCGGGGACAUCCCAGUGACCAGCCAGGAUUCCUGCUCUCUCUCCAGCUGGAUUUAGUGGAAGUUGGGAUCCUGAAGAUGGCUCAGGCUCCCAAUACAUCCCACUGCACCCAGUGUGUCUCUGAGCCUGUCUUUGUCCCCAGCCCCCUGUGGUUGAGAAGGUGGUGGGUCUUGUUGGUGAGAAAGGCGUGGCUGCAUCCCUGGAUGGCUGAGGACUGGUGGUGACACCCAUGCCCUGUCCCCCUCCAGCACCAUGAAGAGAUGAUCAUCCCUGGAAGAACCCCCUGAUUUCCCUCAGAGCCCAGGGGCAUUUCCCCAGAAUGAUCAAUAAAUCCCUUCAGCAAAGCUA